rnacentral:rRNA from 1 species
UACGGAGGGUGCGAGCGUUGUCCGGAUUUAUUGGGUUUAAAGGGUGCGUAGGCGGCUUUUUAAGUCUGGGGUGAAAGCCCGCUGCUCAACAGCGGAACUGCCCUGGAUACUGGAGAGCUUGAGUACAGACGAGGUUGGCGGAAUGGACUGAGUAGCGGUGAAAUGCAUAGAUACAGUCCAGAACCCCGAUUGCGAAGGCAGCUGACUAGGCUGAUACUGACGCUGAGGCACGAAAGCGUGGGGAGCGAACAGG